rnacentral:rRNA from 1 species
UGAGUUUGAUUAUGGCUCAGAUUGAACGCUGGCGGCAUGCCUUACACAUGCAAGUCGAACGGCAACGGGCCCUUUGGGUGCCGGCGAGUGGCGAACGGGUGAGUAACACAUCGGAACGUACCCUGUGGAGGGGGAUAACCCGUCGAAAGACGGGCUAAUACCGCAUAAGCUCUGAGGAGGAAAGCGGGGGACCGCGAGGCCUCGCGCCACAGGAGCGGCCGAUGUCCGAUUAGCUAGUUGGUGGGGUAAAGGCUUACCAAGGCGAGGAUCGGUAGCGGGUCUGAGAGGACGGCCCGCCACACUGGGACUGAGACACGGCCCAGACUCCUACGGGAGGCAGCAGUGGGGAAUCUUGGACAAUGGGGGGAACCCUGAUCCAGCAAUGCCGCGUGGGUGAAGAAGNCCUUCGGGUUGUAAAGCCCUUUCGGCAGGGA